rnacentral:rRNA from 1 species
UGGGGAAUCUUGGACAAUGGGGCAACCCUGAUCCAGCCAUGCCGCGUGAGUGAUGAAGGCCUUAGGGUCGUAAAGCUCUUUCGCCUGUGAAGAUAAUGACGGUAGCAGGUAAAGAAACCCCGGCUAACUCCGUGCCAGCAGCCGCGGUAAUACGGAGGGGUUAGCGUUGUUCGGAAUUACUGGGCGUAAAGGGCGCGUAGGCGGCCCGAUAAGUCCAAGGUGAAAGCCCUCGGCUCAACCGAGGAACUGCCUUGGAUACUGUCGGGCUCGAGGCUGGAAGAGGGUGAUGGAAUUCCCGGUGUAGCGGUGAAAUGCGUAGAUAUUUGGAGGAACACCAGUGGCGAAGGCGGCUCACUGGCUCGAUACUGACGCUGAGGUGCGAAAGUGUGGGGAGCAAACAGGAUUAGAUACCCUGGUAGUCCACACCGUAAACGAUGAAUGCCAGUCGUCGGGUAGCAUGCUAUUCGGUGACACACCUAACGGAUUAAGCAUUCCGCCUGGGGAGUACGGUCGCAGAUUAAAA